rnacentral:rRNA from 1 species
GAUGGACGCUGGCGGCGUGCUUAACACAUGCAAGUCGAACGGAAAGGCCCAAGCUUGCUUGGGUACUCGAGUGGCGAACGGGUGAGUAACACGUGGGUGAUCUGCCCUGCACUUCGGGAUAAGCCUGGGAAACUGGGUCUAAUACCGGAUAGGACCACAUUUUGGAUGGUGUGGUGGAAAGUUUUUCGGUGUGGGAUGAGCUCGCGGCCUAUCAGCUUGUUGGUGGGGUAAUGGCCUACCAAGGCGUCGACGGGUAGCCGGCCUGAGAGGGUGUACGGCCACAUUGGGACUGAGAGACGGCCCAGACUCCUACGGGAGGCAGCAGUGGGGAAUAUUGCACAAUGGGCGCAAGCCUGAUGCAGCGACGCCGCGGGGGGGAUGACGGCCUUCGGGUUGUAAACUCCUUUCGCUAGGGACGAAGCGUUAUGUGACGGUACCUGGAGAAGAAGCACCGGCUAACUACGUG